CUAUCACUUGCUUCAACAGUGAUUGGACAGAAUAG
rfam:Macaca mulatta chromosome 17, whole genome shotgun sequence.